UAGGGAAUCUUCCGCAAUGGACGCAAGUCUGACGGAGCAACGCCGCGUGAGUGAAGAAGGAUUUCGGUUCUUAAAACUCUGUUUUUAGAGAAGAACAGCGCAUAGAGUAACUGUUAUGCGUGUGACGGUAUCUAACCAGAAAGCCACGGCUAACUACGUUCCAGCAGCCGCGGUAAUAUGUAGGUGGCAAGCGUUGUCCGGAUGUAUUGGGGUAAAAGCGAGCGCAGGCGGUCAAUUAAGUCUGAUGUGAAAGCCCCCGGCUCAACCGGGGAUGGUCAUUGGAAACUGGUUGACUUGAAUGCAGAAGAGGAGAGUGGAAUUCCAUGUGUAGCGGUGAAAUGCGUAGAUAUAUGGAGAAACACCAUGGGAGAAGGCGACUCUCUGGUCUGUAACUGACGCUGGGGCUCGAAAGCGUGGGUAGCAAACAGG
rnacentral:rRNA from 1 species